CAGGUGAUAAAGGGUCCUGCCGCGAGGCUCUCUGGGAAGCGUAGUUCUAGACCGGACUAAAACUCCUUGGGCUCGCCCCGGAAGACUACAGUUCCCGGUGAGCACUGCGCCCCCAAGGCUGCCGGAACCCUGGCGUGGGGAGGCGUGGGGAGGCGGGGGGAGGGGGAAGGAGAAGUAGAGGAGAGGGCGGGAGGCUGCCGGGGUCGGGAGGUGCGACUCCUCCUAGCGGGGAGUUGGAGAGGGUUGUGGCGGGGCGCGCGAGCGCGAGCAGGUGGUGCCGGAGAUGAAAGCUCAGGAACCGGGCCGGGCCGCCCAACUAAGUGAACUUGGCCCGUCAGCGGAGACCCGGACCCUCCGGCCGCGUUGCCGGCCGCGUUCACGCCACGAGCCCUCGCGCGCCUGCCGCAGGUCGGGCCGGAGCCUGGGCACCGCGGAGGAGCGAGCGAGCGAGGCGCGCGGCCGCCCGCGCCGCCGCGGAGCCGACCCCGGGCGAGUCCGCGGCACCGCGUCCCUUCGCGUCGUACGCGCUGCGGCGGGGCGGGGGCGCCUGGACCCCGGCCGGCCUCGAGCGUCCCUUCGACUUCACUUUAGCAUGAGCCUGUGCUGCCUCUGUAGACAGCUGGAAGCAGCUGUGUCAAGACCUGCAGUGUUAUCAUGGAUGCCUAAGGUCCUGGUCAGCCUCUUGGCCCUGGCCUCUUUCUCCUACAUGCCCUGUUGAAGGCCUGACGUAAGGUUAGGCAUUUGUUGAUGCAUUUCCUUGGUGGUCAGCAUUUGUUACCCAGUAAAAAUGUCAACACCUGCAAGUUUCUUCCUAAGUCUCCCAACAUUUCCUGAGAAUGGCUGAUUUCCAUAUUUAUUGAAUAUUAUUUUUAAUGGAAGUGCCCCUGACCCCAACCUGUUCUACAAGAAAUGAAAUUGUGCUUUAUUUUCUCUCAUUUUAUUUUAUUGUGUCUUGAACCUAAUAUUUUUAUAGUUGAAAACUCUGCUUUCUAGCUUUUUUCCUUUUUGACUCAUAUUGAUGGUUUUUACUUGGAUCUUCAACUAAUUUCACCAUGAAAACUAGCAUAGCGAAGUGAAAUCAAUUGGAUAAGAGAUUGCCACUAGUGCUGUGAACUUUUAACUAUACAAUCAAUGAGUUUACUUCAGGUUGUGUCCUAAUGUGAAAGAUUAACCUAUUGCUUAGAAAUCUGGAAUUCGGGAUCCCUGGGUGGCGCAGCGGUUUGGCGCCUGCCUUUGGCCCAGGGCGCGAUCCUGGAGACCCGGGAUCGAAUCCCACAUCGGGCUUCUGGUGCAUGGAGCCUGCUUCUCCCUCUGCCUGUGUCUCUGCCUCUCUCUCUUUCUCUCUCUGUGACUAUCAUAAAUAAAUAAACAUUAAAAAAAAAAAAGAAAUCUGGA
rnacentral:lncRNA from 12 species